GGAACAAGGAACCAGGAAUCAGCUGUCAAAAGAGUAUCUAGUUAAAGUGUCAGAAAGAGAUAUGUUCAGAAAUUGUGUACAGCUCUGACUGAACACACCCGCGAAGAUGCCUGCAGUUUCCACCGGGGCCAAAGAGCUAUAUCUGUCCACAUCUCUGGGUGAACUCAAUAAAAAGGCUGACAUUAAGCCGGACAAGACAAGUACCAGAAGCUAUGUUCAGAGUGCCGGCAAAAUCUUAAGGCAGCAGAGGAGUGUCGUCUGGAAAGAGAUGAGGAGAAAGCUUAUGUGCUGUACAUGAAGUAUUUAACAGUAUAUGACAUCAUCAAGAAAAGACCAGACUUCAAGCAGCAACCGGAGUAUUACACGACCAUGCUUGGGCAAACAGCUUUAAGAAAGCCAUUGAAGAAGCCGAGAAGCUCUCUGAAAGCCUUAAACUCAGGUAUGAGGAAGUUGAGGUUCGAAAAAACUUGAGGAGAUGGAGAGACAGAGGAGAAGAAAAGGAGGGAGGAAAUAACAGAAAAAGAGAGUCAUCCUAAAGUGUCAUCGGCAAACAAGAAGGACA